rnacentral:rRNA from 1 species
GAUGAACGCUGGCGGCGUGCCUAAUACAUGCAAGUCGAGCGAACAGACGAGGAGCUUGCUCCUCUGACGUUAUCGGCGGACGGGUGAGUAACACGUGGUUAACCUACCUAUAAGACUGGGAUAACUUCGGGAAACCGGAGCUAAUACCGGAUAAUAUAUCGAACUGCAUUGUUCACUAGUGAAAGACGGUUUUUGUGUCAGUUAUAGAUUGAUCCGGGUCGCAUUAGCUAGUUGGGAAGGUGAAGGCUUAGCAAGGCAACGAUGCGUAGACGACCUGAGAGGGUGAUCGGCCACACUAGAACUGAGACACGGUCCAGACUCCUACGGUAGGCAGCAGUAGAGAAUCUUCCGCAAGGGGCGAAAGCGUGACGGAGCAACGCCGCGUGAGGGAUGAAGGUCUUCGGAUCGUAGAGCUCUGUUAUUAGGGAAGAACAAAUGUGUAAGUAACUAUGCACGUCUUGACGGUACCUAAUCAGAAAGCCACGGCUAACUACGUG